AAGGAUAUCAGAGAUAAAAAUGAUUAAUUAUGGGAAAAGAUAAGGUGCUUCCUUUGAUUGAAGAGGAAAGUAGGCCUAGAAAGAUUUCAAUGGAAUCUCUAACUAACAAAGGCUAAAUUUAUCACAAAUUUGAAAUACAAAGAGAACAUUCUGUUAAAUCAAAGGCUUUCUCAGUCCAACUGUAAGGCUAGAUGGAAGAACUGCUUAAAUUCAAUGAAGUAUGAGUCAUGGGUUAACUGAAACUCCUGCCCUGGGAAGAAGCUUGUUCUAUACGAAUGUACUUAAUUUCUACUUCAGUGUAGAUGUUUUCAAGUUCACAACUGUAAGACUUUUCUGGUCAAUACUGAUCUGAAGGCUAUCAUUUGAGAUAAGUGGAAAGAUAGCAUUUCCAAAGUCCUUAUUCUUUUACGGCAAACAUCCAUAUAAAAUCUGUCUUCAUAUAUAAUAGUUUUUUAUUCUUUCCUAUUUGAUGGAAAUUUAAGGCUUACAAGAUAUCAAAGUGAUACCUAAUCAAGCCUCUAUCCCUAUUUAUUGUCUCCCAAACUGUUAACAAAACAAAAACAAAACUCUUAAAAUUAACAACAUUAAUCCUUUAUUGAAAUGCCUUUGGUGUAAUAAUAUCUCAUAUCUAUUAAUAGGCCUCAACCAUUCAUGUAAGCCCAUCUAAGUAGCUUCAUCGUGUCCCAUUAUAGUAAUGUAUGCUUUCUUUAUUCAAGCAUGACACAGCACAGAGAUUUAUUUCACAUUAAACUUUUUUGAAUAAAAAGAAAAAAAGGAUUCAAGAACAGGUGUCUCAGGCUAGAUUUGGGACUGCAUAAGUGAGCUUUGUGUUAGGGGACGAUAAGAAUACAUUUAAAAUUUUAAUUGAAGAAUGCCAGGCACCAGAGGCAAAUAGCAUGCGAUUUUUUUUAAGUGCUAAAAACAGCCAGCUGCCAAAAAGGGUAAGCUAGCUGAUGGUUACAGCUGUUCACCAUCAUGCAACAAAAACACAAAAGCUCUCUAUUUCUUGAGGUAUGUCUUAUCCACACAAUAGACUAUGGGCCUCCACACAUCAUUUUUGUAUCCUUGUGUUAAGUUACCACAGCAUGGCAUAGAACUAUUCAAAAUUAAGGAAAAGUGAUUUUUUGACUGUACUAUUUUAAAUGAUCUACAACUACAUCUUCUUUGGUUUAAUCUAGGAGAGAAUUGACUGCAUUAUUCUUACUGUUUUAUGUAAUGGCCACAGACAAAGUGAAUUCUUCCAUGUAGUGCUGCUAGGGAAAAAAUUCCUUUUUUGAAUUGGGAAAUUGAGUGGCAGAUUGCAAAAAUGUGUUUUCUCACAUUCCAGUGACAAAAGAGUUGGUAAAUGUCAAGCAAGAAAAAAAAAAGUCUGAGUUUUACCAUCUCCUUAUUUCUGCCCGUCACAAACCUAAACACAGAGAGGAGGAAGGACAGGAGAAACAACAAUGGCCUUUCUAAAAACCCACAGACUGAACAGUCUUUUAAUGGCAGAGUUAAGCCAUAGACACCUCCUACUUCCAAUGAAGAGAGGUCAGAAAAACUAAAGGAAUGAGCCAGGAUGUCCUUGGAACCACAGUAGAGGGGACAGCCAUCUUGCCAGCGCAACCCAAUGAAAAGCCCCUAGUAGUGUGCCAG